UACGUAGGAUGCAAGCGUUGUCCGGAUUUACUGGGCGUAAAGAGCGCGCAGGCGGUCGUUCAAGUCGCGUGUGAAAGCCCCCGGCUCAACUGGGGAGGGUCACGCGAUACUGAUCGACUCGAAGGCAGGAGAGGGUAGUGGAAUUCCCGGUGUAGUGGUGAAAUGCGUAGAUAUCGGGAGGAACACCAGUGGCGAAGGCGACUACCUGGCCUGUUCUUGACGCUGAGGCGCGAAAGCUAGGGGAGCAAACGGG
rnacentral:rRNA from 1 species